CAGCCAUGCCGCGUGCAGGAAGAAUGCCCUAUGGGUAGUAAACUGCUUUUAUACAGGAAGAAAAAGAGCUACGUGUAGCUUACUGACGGUACUGUAAGAAUAAGGACCGGCUAACUCCGUGCCAGCAGCCGCGGUAAUACGGAGGGUCCGAGCGUUAUCCGGAAUUAUUGGGUUUAAAGGGUCCGUAGGCGGGCCGAUAAGUCAGGGGUGAAAGUUUGCAGCUCAACUGUAAAAUUGCCUUUGAUACUGUUGGUCUUGAGUUAUAGUGAAGUUGCCGGAAUAUGUAGUGUAGCGGUGAAAUGCAUAGAUAUUACAUAGAACACCGAUUGCGAAGGCAGGUGACUAACUAUAUACUGACGCUGAUGGACGAAAGCGUGGGGAGCGAACAGGAUUAGAUACCCUGGUAGUCCACGCCGUAAACGAUGGAUACUAGCUGUCCGAGGCCUUGAGUCUUGGGCGGCCAAGCGAAAGUGAUAAGUAUCCCACCUGGGGAGUACGUUCGCAAGAAUGAAACUCAAAGGAAUUGACGGGGGCCCGCACAAGCGGUGGAGCAUGUGGUUUAAUUCGAUGAUACGCGAGGAACCUUACCAGGGCUUAAAUGCAUAUUGACAGGUCUAGAGAUAGAUUUUCCUUCGGGCAAUUUGCAAGGUGCUGCAUGGUUGUCGUCAGCUCGUGCCGUGAGGUGUCAGGUUAAGUCCUAUAACGAGCGCAACCCCUACCGUUAGUUGCCAGCAUGUCAUGAUGGGGACUCUAACGGGACUGCCGGUGCAAACCGUGAGGAAGGUGGGGAUGACGUCAAAUCAUCACGGCCCUUACGUCCUGGGCCACACACGUGCUACAAUGGCAGGUACAGAGAGCAGCCAUGUCGCAAGGCAGAGCGAAUCUACAAAACCUGUCACAGUUCGGAUCGGGGUCUGCAACUCGACCCCGUGAAGCUGGAAUCGCUAGUAAUCGGAUAUCAGCCAUGAUCCGGUGAAUACGUUCCCGGGCCUUGUACACACCGCCCGUCAAGCCAUGGAAGCUGGGAGUGCCUGAAGUCCGUCACCGUAAGGAGCGGCCU
rnacentral:rRNA from 1 species